UCUCGCAUCGAUGAAGAACGYAGCGAAAUGCGAUACUUGGUGUGAAUUGCAGAAUCCCGUGAACCAUCGAGUYUUUGAACGCAAGUUGCGCCCGAAGCCAUUAGGCCGAGGGCACGUCUGCCUGGGCGUCACGCAUCGCGUCGCCCCUCCGCACGCCGCAAGGC
rnacentral:rRNA from 1 species